UCUUUAGCUAAACCAAAUAUACAUACAUAUCUGUGCGCGAUAGGCCAGAAGAGCUGCCUCCAACUAACCAGCAAUUCGGACCACAAUUUAUGGAGGACAGGUCAUAUUCAGUUUCUUGUGAAAUAUACAUAUACUUGAUUUAAUUGAUACCACUGAUGGCGUCAUAAAAAAUAAAUAAAUAACUGCAGUUUGGAUUUGAAUCCUUCAUUCAAAUGAUAUCUGCCACCAAUUCUUGGCUCCAUUUUCCCUGGUCCACGCAAAUCGAAUUUAAUGUGAAGGAAGUUAACGCCCAACGCCCAAUCGCAUUUCCGCUCACUUUUCCACAUUCACACAAACCAUCGCGAACCCAAAGACACUGUAAAUUAAAUUGCGUAUACGAGCAGUUGCCAAUGCGGUGACAGGAGCAGCAGACACACUCCGCUGGCCCUUCCGUUACGGGCAUAAAUUCAAUAAUGCCAAGCGUCUGGCACUAUCAACGUGCUCCGAUGGAGUGUGGAGUGGCCGAUCGAUAUAGUUUCGGCUGAAAAAUGUAUUGUGUUUCCUCUGGAAGGAUGUUGUGGCGUCUUCUCUGUCGGUCCCAAUAUGUGAAUAUGAGCGGUUCGAUCGAGUUCGUUUAUAAAUGUGAUCUCAGCUUGUCUGAAAUAUUCAAAGGGAAAUAAAUAGUGCACAGUAAAGGGCCUAGCAAAUAAGGUGCUUGUAAAGUCUCUGGGUC
rnacentral:misc_RNA from 1 species